GGUCGCUUAGCUCAGCUGGGAGAGCACCUCCCUUACAAGGAGGGGGUCACUGGUUCGAGCCCAGUAGCGACCAC
rnacentral:tRNA from 1 species